GACGAACGCUGGCGGCGUGCUUAACACAUGCAAGUCGAGCGGUAAGGCCCUUCGGGGUACACGAGCGGCGAACGGGUGAGUAACACGUGGGUAACCUGCCCUGUACUUUGGGAUAAGCCCGGGAAACUGGGUCUAAUACCGGAUAUGACAUCACCGCGCAUGGGGUGGUGUGGAAAGUUCUGGCGGUACAGGAUGGGCCCGCGGCCUAUCAGCUUGUUGGUGGGGUGAUGGCCUACCAAGGGCGACGACGGGUAGCCGGCCUGAGAGGGCGACCGGCCACACUGGGACUGAGACACGGCCCAGACUCCUACGGGAGGCAGCAGUGGGGAAUCUUGCACAAUGGGCGAAAGCCUGAUGCAGCGACGCCGCGUGAGGGAUGACGGCCUGUGU
rnacentral:rRNA from 1 species